rnacentral:rRNA from 1 species
GAUGAACGCUAGCUACAGGCUUAACACAUGCAAGUCGAGGGGCAUCAGGAAGGAAGCUUGCUUUCUCCGCCGGCGACCGGCGCACGGGUGAGUAACACGUAUGCAACCUGCCCCUGUCAGGGGGACAACCCGCCGAAAGGCGGGCUAAACCCGCGUACAUGCCACCGGGGCAUCCCGGAGGCAGGAAAGGCUUCGGCCGGACAGGGAUGGGCAUGCGGCGCAUUAGGCAGUAGGCGGGGUAACGGCCCACCUAACCGACGAUGCGUAGGGGUUCUGAGAGGAAGGUCCCCCACACUGGUACUGAGACACGGACCAG